rnacentral:lncRNA from 1 species
GAAAUUUGCCUUGCAUUGCCUGGUGAGUGGCAUUCUUCCAUCGUCCUGGUUGCUAUGACGAUGAAGGAAACUCGUUUGUUCCGGGUCACUCCUAAAUUUGCACAUGAAAGCAUUAGAGAUUACUGCUGUCUAAUCAAGUUAUAUGGAAAAGUUUAAAGGGAGGUACAAUGUUUUACAGCCAGCAACCCUCCACAGAAUAAAACACAAUAGCUGAGAAAAAGGAUUAUCUCCUGCUUUUAAAAACAUACGAAGAAAGUUCAAAAUGAUUCCUAAGUGUCAUGGUCCUAAUUAUUGUCACAUCACUGCUGAAAUGCAAAAAACUUGUUACUUUGAGUAUGAAUUACAUCUCCAAAGAAGUCAGGAAUGGUGGUGAAUAUAAGUGGGAAGCCCCGGGAGAAGCCCACUUGUUGCUGCAGAGGGGAAGCAUUCUGCAGUGCCCUGGGAAAUACCAGCUGCACCCGGAGGCUUCAGUUCUUUGCUGUUGCCCAGCCAACACCUGAGGGAUCACAAACGAACCUGGGAGUAAGUAAUUAAAAUUCAAAGCUUUAACAUUCAGAUACUUUUACGCUUUCUUUUGCUUCCAACUUGCAAGAAAUUUUCCAG